AGAGUUUGAUCCUGGCUCAGAACGAACGCUGGCGGCAUGCCUAACACAUGCAAGUCGAACGAGACCUUCGGGUCUAGUGGCGCACGGGUGCGUAACGCGUGGGAAUCUGCCUUCAGGUACGGAAUAACUCGGGGAAACCCGUGCUAAUACCGUAUGAUGUCUUCGGACCAAAGAUUUAUCGCCUGGAGAUGAGCCCGCGUUGGAUUAGCUAGUUGGUGGGGUAAAGGCCUACCAAGGCGACGAUCCAUAGCUGGUCUGAGAGGAUGAUCAGCCACACUGGGACUGAGACACGGCCCAGACUCCUACGGGAGGCAGCAGUGGGGAAUAUUGGACAAUGGGCGCAAGCCUGAUCCAGCAAUGCCGCGUGAGUGAUGAAGGCCUUAGGGUUGUAAAGCUCUUUUACCCGGGAAGAUAAUGACUGUACCGGGAGAAUAAGCCCCGGCUAACUCCAUGCCAGCAGCCGCGGUAAU
rnacentral:rRNA from 1 species